AGUGAACGCUGGCGGUAGGCCUAACACAUGCAAGUCGAACGGCAGCACAGUAAGAGCUUGCUCUUACGGGUGGCGAGUGGCGGACGGGUGAGGAAUACAUCGGAAUCUACUUUUUCGUGGGGGAUAACGUAGGGAAACUUACGCUAAUACCGCAUACGACCUACGGGUGAAAGCAGGGGAUCUUCGGACCUUGCGCGAUUGAAUGAGCCGAUGUCGGAUUAGCUAGUUGGCGGGGUAAAGGCCCACCAAGGCGACGAUCCGUAGCUGGUCUGAGAGGAUGAUCAGCCACACUGGAACUGAGACACGGUCCAGACUCCUACGGGGGGCAGCAGUGGGGAAUAUUGGACAAUGGGCGCAAGCCUGAUCCAGCCAUACCGCGUGGGUGAAGAAGGCCUUCGGGUUGUAAAGCCCUUUUGUCGGGAAAGAAAAGCAGCAGGUUAAUACCCCGCUGUUCUGACGGUACCCAAAGAAUAAGCACCGGCUAACUUCGUG
rnacentral:rRNA from 1 species